UACGUAGGGUGCAAGCGUUGUCCGGAAUUAUUGGGCGUAAAGAGCUCGUAGGCGGUUUGUCGCGUCUGCUGUGAAAACUGGAGGCUCAACCUCCAGCCUGCAGUGGGUACGGGCAGACUAGAGUGCGGUAGGGGAGAUUGGAAUUCCUGGUGUAGCGGUGAAAUGCGCAGAUAUCAGGAGGAACACCGGUGGCGAAGGCGGGUCUCUGGGCCGUAACUGACGCUGAGGAGCGAAAGCGUGGGGAGCGAACAGG
rnacentral:rRNA from 1 species